GGACCCUAGAGGGCGAGGUUCCCAUGGAAACGAGAGAGGCUCUUCGCGCCUGCGCGGACGCGCUAGGCACGGUGGGAAUCGUAGUUUCCGGGCUGCCACCCGGCGGCCAAAGGCACGGACGCGAGAUGGCGCCCGAGCAUCGCGGUGGGUUCCGCGCCUCCGGGGUCGUUUCCCCCACUACCCCCAGGCCGAGCGCUGCCGGCGUAGGAGAGGCCGCGGAGGCCUGAAAGCUCUACACACGACGUGGGGGCUUGAACUCGUGACCCCGAUGUCAAGAGUCGCAUGCAGCACCGACUGAGCCAGACACGGAACCCCCCGGCCCACCUCUUUGGAAGUGACGCUCUCCAGGUCGCUGGUGUCCAGCACCUCCCACAGCUCAGCCCGGAUCGCCUGCUCCAUCCGCUCCUGCUCUGAGGGCCUGGGAGCCGAGCCCGUCAGUCCAAGAGCCCCUUCCCGGCUCCCCCAUGGCACCCUCCCCUCUCCUCCCCUGCCCGCGCUGACCGGCCAGGCUCGGCGCUGGGAGGCCGCAGGGAUUCCAGGUCGGCCAUGGCCAUCCACUCGUUGAGGCAGCUCUGGUCAGAGCUCAGUCUGUCCUGGUAGUAUCCAGCCCAGGCCCUCCAACCGGCUCUGAGAAGAGGAGGCCGGCCGGAGACCGGGGCCGCCCUAACCCUUACCACAUGGUCUGGAUGGAGAUGGGCUUGAAGAUUCGGCUCUGCCCACUGGACGUCACACUGAAGCCCCUGAGGGAGACCAGGUACACCUGGGUGUCACUCCAGAGAGGCAAGACCAGGCCCAGGGUGCAGCUCGGGGAGCUGGCAGGGGACAGAAGAAAAGCCAUUGUUCCCCAGCAUCUCACUUCCUUGCCCCCCUCCCUUCCUCUCCCUGCUCGCACCUGCUGUCGGGGAAAUCCACUCCCAAGAGGACUGUCUCAUCCUGGCUCUGAUGUUCUCUUGUGGAAACUACCAGCAGGUUCCAGAUUGGUAGUUAUAACCCAGUGGCUGCCAACUUUGGGAUUCCAUGGUCCAACAGAAUGUUUAAGAAGAUUUUUCGUGGGGCGCCUGGGUGGCUCAGUCGGUUAAGCGUCCGACUUCGGCUCAGGUCAUGAUCUCACGGUCCGUGAGUUCGAGCCCCGCGUCAGACUCUGUGCUGACAGCUCCGAGCCUGGAGCCUG